rnacentral:rRNA from 1 species
GACGAACGCUGGCGGCGUGCUUAACACAUGCAAGUCGAACGGAAAGGCCCUGCUUUUGUGGGGUGCUCGAGUGGCGAACGGGUGAGUAACACGUGAGUAACCUGCCCUUGACUUUGGGAUAACUUCAGGAAACUGGGGCUAAUAACGGAUAGGAGCUCCUGCUGCAUGGUGGGGGUUGGAAAGUUUCGGCGGUUGGGGAUGGACUCGCGGCUUAUCAGCUUGUUGGUGGGGUAAUGGCUUACCAAGGCUUUGACGGGUAGCCGGCCUGAGAGGGUGACCGGCCACAUUGGGACUGAGAUACGGCCCAGACUCCUACGGGAGGCAGCAGUGGGGAAUAUUGCACAAUGGGCGGAAGCCUGAUACAGCAACGCCGCGUGCGGGAUGACGGCCUUCGGGUUGUAAACCGCUUUCGCCUGUGACGAAGCGUGAGUGGCGGUAAUGGGUAAAGAAGCACCGGCUAACUACGUG